CGAGGCGGAGCGAAUCCCCAAAAGCAGUCUCAGUUCAGAUUGUAGGCUGAAACUCGCCUAUAUGAAGUCGGAAUUGCUAGUAAUCGCGGAUCAGCAUGCCGCGGUGAAUACGUUCCCGGGCCUUGUACACACCGCCCGUCACACCAUGAGAGUCGAUAACACCCGAAGCCUGUAGUCUAACCGCAAGGAGGACGCAGUCGAAGGUGGGAUUGAUAAUUAGGGUGAAGUCGUAACAAGGUACC
rnacentral:rRNA from 1 species